UUCCUACGCACUUGGGGCGCAUGUAGCGCCGGACAAAUCCCAGCUUUGUCAGUCCGGCUUUGGACAGCAUGGGUGACUUACGGGUGACGGCCAAACUAAUGGCCGCGCUGCCAUGUGCCCUGGUCUUCCUCGGCAUACUUCUGUUGGCCAAUACUGCUGAUGGCUGUGGCUUUGCCAGUCUUUGGAGGUCCUCCAGCCGAGAAAACAACCACCAUGUGGCGAAGAGAGCCAUGCCAGUGGAUACUACGU